GAUGAACGCUAGCUACAGGCUUAACACAUGCAAGUCGAGGGGUAACGAGAGGAAAGCUUGCUUUCCUUGUCGACGACCGGCGCACGGGUGAGUAACGCGUAUCCAACCUGCCCCCAACUAGGGAAUAACCUUGCGAAAGUAAGACUAAUACCCUAUAAUUUCCUCAGAUGCCAUCUGACGAGGAAUAAAGAUUUAUCGGUUGUGGAUGGGGAUGCGUCUGAUUAGCUUGUUGGCGGGGUAACGGCCCACCAAGGCAACGAUCAGUAGGGGUUUUAAUAGGAAGGUCCCCCACAUUGGUAAUGAGACACGGUCCAAACUCCUACGGCAGGCAGCAGUGAUGAAUAUUGGUCAAUGGGCGGAAGCCUGAACCAGCCAAGUAGCGUGCAGGAUGACGGCCCUAUGGGUUGUAAACUGCUUUUAUACAGGAAUAAAGUUAGCCACGUGUGGUUAUUUGUAGGUACUGUAUGAAUAAGGACCGGCUAAUUCCGUGCCAGCCGCCGCGGUAA
rnacentral:rRNA from 1 species